AGAAACCGCUGGGCAGUCUCCUGGGUGAGCGCCAGACGCCUGGGGUCCGUUUGCCGCCUGCUGAGACUAGACAAGGACCCCGGGAGGGCGACGUUGGGGGAGAGGGCUACGGAUGGAGGUCCCGCCGCGCUUGGGCCGGGUCCGGAGCCACCAGGACGCACAGCGGGUUUCCCUCAUUCUCAGUCAGGUGGUUGAGUUAUCCAAGCCUUCAUAACCAGAGGGUCUGAGCACUUGUUGGACUGUGCUUACUGCAGCUUCUCAUUUACAAUUACCACUGCACCUGAGAGUACCAAGAGAUUCCUGAGCCAGAGAUUACGAUUUCCAACUUCCAGCUCCUCAAGGUUUCAAUAUCAGGAUGAUGCCAGCCUCAUAAAAUGAGUUAGGGAGGAGUCUGAGAGGAGCUAUUAGAGCUUUACAGGCUUUUGUAUCAUAUGUAGAAAGCUGAAACUGGAUCCCUUCCUUACACCUUAUACAAAAAUUAAUUCAAGAUGGAUUAAAGACUUAAAUAUUAGACCUAAAACCAUAAAAACUCUAGAAGAAAACCUAGGCAAUACCCUUCAGGACAUAAGCAUGGGCAAGGACUUCAUGUCUAAAACACCAAAAGCAAUGGCAACAAAAGCCAAAAUUGACAAAUGGGAUCUAAUUAAACUAAAGAGCUUCUGCACAGCAAAAGAAACUACCAUCAGAGUGAACAGGCAACCUACAGAAUAGGAGAAAAUUUUUGCAAUCUACUCAUCUGACAAAGGGCUAAUAUCCAGAAUCUACAAUGAACUCAAACAAGUUUACAAGAAAAAAACAAACAACCCCAUCAACAAGUGGGCGAAGGAUAUGAACAGACACUUCUCAAAAGAACACAUUUAUGCAGCCAACAGACACAUGAAAAAAUGCUCAUCAUCACUGGCCAUCAGAGAAAUGCAAAUCAAAACCACAAUGAGAUAUCAUCUCAUACCUGUUAGAAUGGCGAUCAUUAAAAAGUCAGGAAACAACGGGUGCUGGAGAGGAUGUGGAAACAUAGGAACACUUUUACACUGUUGGUGGGACUGUAAACUAGUUCAACCAUUGUGGAAGACAGUGUGGCGAUUCCUCAGGGAUCUAGAACAGAAAUACCAUUUGACCCAGCCAUCCCAUUACUGGGUAUAUACCCAAAGGAUUAUAAAUCAUGCUGCUAUAAAGACACAUGCACGUGUAUGUUUAUUACGGCACUAUUCACAAUAGCAAAGACUUGGAACCAAUCCAAAUGUCCAACAAUGAUAGACUGGAUUAAGAAAAUGUGGCACAUAUACACCAUGGAAUACUGUGCAGCCAUAAAAAAUGAUGAGUUCAUGUCCUUUGCAGGGACAUGGGUGAAGCUGGAAACCAUCAUUCUCAGCAAACUAUCCCAAGGACAAAAAACCAAACACCGCAUGUUCUCACUCAUAGGUGGGAAUUGAACAAUGAGAACACUUUGACACAGGAAGGGGAACAUCACACACUGGGGCCUGUUGUGGAGUGGGGGGAGGGGGGAGGGAUAGCAUUAGGAAGAAUACCUAAUGUAAAUGACGAGUUAAUGGGUGCAGCACACCACCGUGGCACAUGUAUACAUACGUAACAAACCUACCCGUUGUGCACAUAUACCCUAGAACUUAAAGUAUAAUAAAUAUAUAUAUAUUAAAAAAAAAAAAAAAAAGAAAGCUCCAGCAGCAACAAGGUGCAGACACUGGACGAGAAACAGGAGUGAGAAACAAUGGUGAGAAGUCUAUUGUGGUCAGCAAGGUGGAAGUGAUGGGGCCCUGAAUCUGGGCAGUGUCUGUUGUGAUGGGCAAAAGAAGAAGUGGAUUUGAGAGCCUUUAAGGACAGGCAAUUGCUGGGAGCUAGUUAAUGUAAAUUAGCUUCUUCCAGACCACAAGAAAUUGGCCACCAAAAAUAUAAAAUUUGGGGUUGGGAGGCAAAUGCAGAAACCCGAAGUCCUUAUACGAAGUCAGCUCUGGGGUGGAAUAAAACAUUCCCAUUUAUCUGUUUUCUAUUUCAAAACUCCUCUUUUAAGGAGAUGUAAGAAACAUCUAUUUUUUGAGCAUUGGCAUACAAUUCUUUGACAACAGCAUUUUAAUACUAAAAAAUGGAGAAACAGAGGGAAGAAGAGACUUGGAAUCACUCUGUCCUGGCUGUGGGCUGGAUAGCAAGUUUUGGAAGCACUGAACACCCACACGGAGCUGGCUCCUCUCAGGCGGGGAGGCAUCUUCACUAAGGAGAGGUGCAGUCUGUGUCCCCGUCCUUGACUCUGAGAAUCCCUGUGAUCAACAGAAUGCAGAAAAGUGACACUGCAUGGCUUCUGAGGCUAGGUCCAGAAAAGGUGAUGCAGCUUCCCCCUUUGCGCUGAAAUGCAGUGCUUGGACCUCAGAGCUAUUGACUAAGAAGUCCAUGCACCCUGAGCUUCUCAUGCUGGGGAAGCCACGUGUAGGCAUUCAGUUCCCAGCCCAGCUGAGCUCCAUCCUGGCUGCAACAAUUGUUCUCAUGAGGAAGCCAUCUUGGACACUCAGCUCCAUGGAGCCUCCACGAGUCGCCAGCCCCAACUGACAUCUGUCUCACUGCAACCACAGAAGAGCCUCCAACCAAGAACUGCACAGCUGAACCCUUUCUAAAUUCUUGAUCUCCAAAAAGCCAUGCACAAAAUAAAAUGGUUGUUUUGAGCCACUAAACUCUGGAACCUCGAGUAGGGGAGAAGUUCCUUUGGUGUCUGUUCCCCUGUAUUUACCUGGGUAACUGAGAAUCA
rnacentral:lncRNA from 1 species